GGGUCCCUGCCUACUCAGGGUGGGAAGGGAGGGUGAUGGGGAGGGUAGCGCUGGGGGGAGGGGGCUCACAGGAGUAAGGAGAUGGUCCUGCAACAAGAGGGUCUGAGGUCAGACAAGAAGUAGGACUUCUUCACAAUGGGCCUGGGGUGGACCUGGGUGGGGAUCGGUGGGGUGGAGGUCAGGGGAGGGCCCUGGAAUCUGCCCACCCACCCCCAAUGUUCCCUCAUGUCCCCCUUCCUUCCCAUAUGGUGUCAUCAGUUCAGCAUCUCCUGACCCAGUGUGAGCUGGGGACCCAUGUCUGACCCAAACUCUUUGUGCAGCUCCAGAGUUACAUCUGGCGCCUCUCUGGGCCUCAGUGGUCCCAUCUGUAAAAUGAGGUCAGAGGUUACAUCUGGCGCCUCUCUGGGCCUCAGUGGUCCCAUCUGUAAAAUGAGGUCAGAGGUUACAUCUGGCGCCUCUCUGGGCCUCAGUGGUCCCAUCUGUAAAAUGAGGUCAGAGGUUACAUCUGGCGCCUCUCUGGGCCUCAGUGGUCCCAUCUGUAAAAUGAGGUCAGAGGUUACAUCUGGCGCCUCUCUGGGCCUCAGUGGUCCCAUCUGUAAAAUGAGGUCAGAGGUUACAUCUGGCGCCUCUCUGGGCCUCAGUGGUCCCAUCUGUAAAAUGAGGGGAUUGGGAUUUGUAGGUCUGAUGCUCUCAAUUGUUUUUCUUUUUCCAAAAGGGAAGUUUCAGACAUGGAGAGACAGAGAUAUUUGGGGACAGGGAGGGACACCAGCAGGACAGAGUCCACUCAUUAUUCCCCCAUUCGUUUAGUUGACAGUGUUGAUGGCCCAGGCCACCCGCUGGGUGGUGGGAACA